rnacentral:lncRNA from 10 species
CAGGAGCUCCUGCCUGCCUGGAUGAAGAGGAGGUCAAGACUUUGUCCCCCACUCCGCAAGAUACCCUCUCUGUUCCGGAGCGGUGGGUCCCUCCCCUGUUAGGACCUUGUCUCCCUCAGGACUGGACCUGGAUCCUGGGCCUGCAGUCAGAUUGCCAGUUUCACUUAGAGGUGGAAAUGUCAACCCACUGGUUGGAAUGGGAAGAGACUGGGUCCCACCAUAUUGCCUGGGCUGGCCUCGGACUCUUGACCCCAAGUGAUCCUCUGGCCUCAGCCUCCCAAGCAGCUGGAUUUACAGGCAGGCACCACCGCACCGAGCUAAAAACGCCUGGCUUCCCUGGGCCUGCUGCACCUGCUCUGGCUAGGUUGGAGAGGGCUGCAGGGAGGACCGCAGUCAGCAGAGGGCGCCAAAGCCUCUCAACACAAGCAUGGCCCAGGCCUGGCCCAGAAGGAGAGCGCUGAGAGCCAGGACUGGCGGGCUACGUGCGCCCUGUGGAUUCCCCCAUUUCCCAUGCUUCAUCCAGCCAUGGGCCUGCAGUGCACUCACAAAUGUGCAUAUACCCUCCUGUGUGUGUGUUACACUCAUCAAAUUGUCUCUGAAUUUGCUUGGCUUCAUGUGUUCCUGUGUGUGUUUAUGUGUGUGUGUGGUGUGUCUGGUGUAUCUGGUUCCCCAGGAAGCACAUUUGACAGCCCCACAGUCAGGGUCAGGGCACAGGGACAGAUACUGUGUCUAUAACAAUCCAUAACACUGAUUUUGUUCAUCUCAAUAAAUGUGAGAAUGAAAUAAAAAUUAAUGUAGAAUAUUUUGUACAUCUCAAUAAAGCCACUUUCUGGGGGCAGGCAUUAU